GCCCGGCUAGCUGAGUCGGUAGAGCAUGAGACUCUUAAUCUCAGGUUCGUGGGUUUGAGCCCCACGUUGGGCG
rnacentral:tRNA from 1 species